GACGAACCGUGCGAACGUUGUUCGGAUUCACUGGGCUUAAAGGGCGCGUAGGCGGACGGUCAAGUCAAGGGUGAAAUCUUUCAGCUUAACUGGAAAAGUGCCUUUGAUACUGAUCGUCUCGAGGGAGGUAGGGGCAUGUGGAACUUCCGGUGGAGCGGUGAAAUGCGUAGAUAUCGGAAGGAACGCCGGUGGCGAAAGCGACGUGCUGGACCUCUUCUGACGCUGAGGCGCGAAAAGCUAGGGGGAGCAAAACGGGG
rnacentral:rRNA from 1 species